rnacentral:rRNA from 1 species
AUUGAACGCUGGCGGCAGGCUUAACACAUGCAAGUCGAGCGGGGGAGGUUACUUCGGUAACUGACCUAGCGGCGGACGGGUGAGUAAUGCUUAGGAAUCUGCCUAUUAGUGGGGGACAACAUUCCGAAAGGAAUGCUAAUACCGCAUACGCCCUACGGGGGAAAGCAGGGGAUCUUCGGACCUUGCGCUAAUAGAUGAGCCUAAGUCGGAUUAGCUAGUUGGUGGGGUAAAGGCCUACCAAGGCGACGAUCUGUAGCGGGUCUGAGAGGAUGAUCCGCCACACUGGGACUGAGACACGGCCCAGACUCCUACGGGAGGCAGCAGUGGGGAAUAUUGGACAAUGGGCGGAAGCCUGAUCCAGCCAUGCCGCGUGUGUGAAGAAGGCCUUUUGGUUGUAAAGCACUUUAAGCGAGGAGGAGGCUCCUUUAGUUAAUACCUAAAGAGAGUGGACGUUACUCGCAGAAUAAGCACCGGCUAACUCUGUGCCAGCCGCCGCCGUAAAAC